GCCGCCGAGCUCCUCUCCCGCCCUCAGCUGCCCCGCCACCCAGUGCGGGGAGGUGUGGCCGAAGGCCUCUCACACCCUGGCUCCGCGGUAGUGCUGCCUCUUCUGCCCCGUCCCCCUUCUCCCGGGCCCUCCCCUCCAGGACUUCUUAUACCAAGACCCGGAGAUGUGGCUGCGGGUGGCGGCGGCCCAGUGCCUCCAGGCCCGGCCCCUGAGCCCUUUCCGCUUCCUGCCUCAGUUGUCUCUUGAGGCUUGGCUUUCGGAGCAUCUAAGCGUGAAGAGCUGUUUUCUUACCGAAGUCCUAGCUUGGGGAUGUUGGUGUCGAUAAACCCUGCACUGAUCCUUUGAUUUAGGAUUUUAAAAGCAUGCAUGUCAGCAACAGCAUUCAACAGAAAAAAGUGGACUAUAUGUAAUUAAGUGUUGUAGUGGAAAUAAAAAGCCCCACUCCUUGAGGUCAAGGACCUUAAAA